rnacentral:sRNA from 1 species
GGCCGUCUUGGCCGAGCGCCGGCUUUGGGCAGAAGCACAGCACCCUCUGUAAGGGCACCGCGAGAGCCCGAGAGCGCGUUCCGGGGCUUUCGGAGCAGCGGUGUGAGGACCAGCAGAGAGAAGAGAUUCCAUCUUCCAGAGUACCCUGAUGGGAGGAUGAAAACAGCAGAAAGGAGCAACACCAGAUGAUCUUUUCAUGGGCACAUACUCUUUCAAGGAAUCUCAUGGAGCUCAGUGAAAUUACACUUUGGCUUAGAGAUAAUUAAGUUGUGGAAGGAGGUUUAAGAGAGGAGCUUAGGUGAAAUUUGAGCUGUAAAUGAGUAUGCUAAAUUAAAGAAAUGAUUAGUAAUAAAUGAGAUUUGCUAUUAAGAAAUUCACUUGGGAUCUGAGAAAACAUUUUACAUACAAGGUAGAAAACUUUAUGGUCAGAAUAGAACACAAUCUGAACCUAAAUUAACAGUAGUGUUA